rnacentral:rRNA from 1 species
AGUUAUUAAUGGCCGCGGUACUUUGACCGUGCUAAGGUAGCGCAAUCAAUUGGCUCUUAAAUGGGGUCAGGAAUGAAUGGAGUUUAACGUGGUUAAGCUGUCUCUUAACUAAUUAAUUGAAGUUACUAUGUAGGUGAAAAAGCCUAUUGUAAGAAAAAGGACGAGAAGACCCUUAGAGUUUUACUUAAUGUGAGAGAUACUAAAGUAUUCAUACUGGUUUUGUUGGGGCAACAUAGGAGCAAUAACUAUAAUCUCCUAAAUUAUAACACACCGAAAUUUAUAAAUCUGAAUAAACUACCUUAGGGAUAACAGCAUAAUUUAAAAAAUAAGUUUGUGACCUCGAUGUUGGACUAGGAAACUUAAAGGCUAGCCGUC